UGGGGAAUCUUCCGCAAUGGACGAAAGUCUGACGGAGCAACGCCGCGUGAGUGAAGAAGGUCUUCGGAUCGUAAAGCUCUGUCUUAGGGGACGAAAGAGUCCAGGUCAAAUACACCUGGGCCGUGACGGUACCUUAGGAGGAAGCCCCGGCUAACUACGUGCCAGCAGCCGCGGUAAUACGUAGGGGGCGAGCGUUGUCCGGAAUUACUGGGCGUAAAGAGCGCGUAGGCGGCCUGCUAAGUCAGGUGUGAAAACUUAAGGCUCAACCUUAAGAUGGCAUUUGAAACUGACAGGCUUGAGGGCAGGAGAGGAGAGCGGAAUUCCUAGUGUAGCAGUGAAAUGCGUAGAUAUUAGGAGGAACACCAGUGGCGAAGGCGGCUCUCUGGACUGAACCUGACGCUGAGGUGCGAAAGCCAGGGGAGCAAACGGG
rnacentral:rRNA from 1 species